GACGUAGGGCGCGAGCGUUGUCCGGAUUUAUUGGGCGUAAAGAGCUCGUAGGCGGCUUGUCGCGUCGACUGUGAAAACCCGCGGCUCAACCGCGGGCCUGCAGUCGAUACGGGCAGGCUAGAGUUCGGUAGGGGAGACUGGAAUUCCUGGUGUAGCGGUGAAAUGCGUAGAUAUUGGGAGGAACACCGGUGGCGAAGGCGGCCCCCUGGACCGGUACUGACGCUGAGGCGCGAAAGCGUGGGUAGCAAACGGG
rnacentral:rRNA from 1 species